rnacentral:misc_RNA from 1 species
GAUGAAGAACGUAGCGAAAUGCGAUAAGUAAUGUGAAUUGCAGAAUUCAGUGAAUCAUCGAAUCUUUGAACGCACAUUGCGCCCGCCAGUAUUCUGGCGGGCAUGCCUGUCCGAGCGUCAUUUCAACCAUCAAGCCCCGGGCUUGUGUUGGGGACCUGCGUCCGACGCAGGCCCUGAAAACCAGUGGCGGGCUCGCUGUCCACACCGAGCGUAGUAACUAACCUCGCUAUGGAGUGGCGCGGGCGCCUGCCGUAAAACCCCCAAUUUUUACAAGGUUGACCUCGGAUCAGGUAGGAAUACCCGCUGAACUUAAGCAUAUCAAAAGCGGAGGA